UCUGCCAAAACUUGAGUUGCUUUUGGACUGCGAAAUGGGAUCGGGAGGAUGGAGCGCGAAGGAGACACCGCAAUGGCGCUCCCGCUAAUAUUUUUGAAAGAUCAAGGAAUCGCAGACGACGUAUAGGGACGAAACCAGGGAGGUGGCAUGUUUGGAGCACAGGCAGGAAGCAUAAUUGCCGAAGCAUCCCCUCGUAAAGAGAAGGACAUUACUAUAUUGGUUCUUGCUAAUCAAUGGUGCCAAGAAGGGUAAAGAUGCUGAUCACGCUUCACAACCCCAGCAUUUGUCAUUGGUCUUCAUUGUAUAAAUUUCAACUAAGGGUUUCAUUGACAAUCCCGGAAUCCCCCCUCUUUUCCAGGCAAGUAGGUGAGCAUAAAGCGACCUUGAUAUUGUAGCAGAUAAAUGACAAUUACAUUUCAGCCAAGCUGCCAUUCUAAGGAGUGCAAUGAAGAGACCACUCUGGUGUAGGAAGGCCUCAAAAUUCAAAGUCUAAAUUCCCACUUCCGAAAGGAACGGGCAUGAAAAUGAGAGACUGGGGUGGGGUGGGGGGGUUUGUCUAGCGGCGUUGUCCUAAAGUUCCUACUUCCCCUUUGGAGCCUGUGCAGGCACAAACAUCCAUGGUGGAUCUUCUAUUUCCAACCUAGCUGCCAACCAGUCUUUCUUCUUGGAAUGAUGCGUGGGUGAAGAUUAAUUAAGUAGAAUCAAAUUAAGGUGAAUACGGUCGAAGAAGAAGAAGAAAGAAGUAACAAAUAAAUUAAAGAAAAGGUUUGCUAGGAGGGGGAAACCUUUCUUUUUAAUUUCGCCUUUCUCUUAAUCUGAUUUUGCUACUGUAAUUUGCAUUAGUAUAAUUGUGAUUUAUGAUUUUCUGUUUCACGAUUUUAGCAUUUCUAUUAGCCUUUUUUUUCCUGACAAACAAUUAUAUAAAAAAAAUAACUGAAAUGAUUAUUUGUAUUUUAUUUGUUAGUCUGGUGGCUCGUGGUAGGGGCCUUUGUAGCAACUUUUUAUAUGAUUAAGAUUCCAAUCCCAUUUGAGACCACUUUCUAUAGAUUGUUAGUAAAACAACACAAUAAGGAGUCCACUCCAUAAAUAGAUUUUCGGGACUUACAUGGUGCUCUUUAUUUAUGAGGUGUGUUUGAUGAGUUUAUUUAAUAUUUAAAAAAAUAACAGCAUCAUUGUGGCUUUCACUGUCAACAAGAAAAAGAAAUGAAAAGAAAAAUGUUAAAAGCAGUAGAGAACUCAAACAUUCAAGUACAACCAUUAUAACAAUAUUAUUAUGGAUCUUUAUUAUCCUUUAUAAUGAUGAUCUAAGGCCGAAAGAAAGAACGGUUAAGUAAUAAAUAUUAGCCCUUAUUUUAAUGUCUGCCAUCAGCAUUCAUCUCAAGAUGAAUGGAUGCCUAAUUAUAUAUAGCUAUUGGCCUCAAAUGGGAGUUGCUAGGAGUUGUUCAUAAAAUUGUCCUUUAUAUCUACACGUGUAUAGCAUUUGUUCGACUUAGGAAAAUAGGGAUAAAAAAUGGUAUUUCUACAGAACGAUACAUCAAGGACAUUUCCUGAAACUUCUGAUGCCUUGCCCAAAAUGUAGAUAUCUUUUAUUGGUGUAUUUUAUAUUUGUGUUAAUUAAACACAUAAUGUAAUAUACAAAUAUCUCAUAAAGUGUCGCUUUUAAAUGUCGAAGUACGUAGUAUUUUUGAAUUUUAAAGAUGGUGAGUUCAACCUACAUUUAUUUUCUCAAACAUAAUUAAAGAUAAGAACUGGUUUGUAGUAGUAAUUUAUAUGUAGGAAGCACUCAACAUAAUGCAUUUGAACAUUUUGACUGAGUUAAUAUUUUGUUUCAUCCAAGUCUCUUCGGUCGGACCUAAUAGGAGUUGGAUGGGGUAUAUGGUAGCGAUGAUUUAUUGACGAAAUCAAAGCUUCUGACCUAGCCAUGCGUUGAGAAUAUAGAUAUAAAUGAAGCCUAUAUUUGGGAAUAGGAUUUUUAAUCAUCCAUCUCGGAGUGCAUGGUCACGCGAGUAUAUAAAUCAAGGUUUGACUUGACAACGUUGUGCUAUUAAUGGGCCUUAAAUUUGUUCCUUGAACGUGAAGGGAGUUUCUCAUGGGAGGAAUAGCCGACCAUCCUGCUCCCUCUCCGCAUCAUCUGGACCUCACAUCUCUCUCUCUCUCUCUUUCUCUCUCUCUCUCUGUUCGCUUAAUUAGCUGUAUAAUCAUCCAUGGAAGCGAUCACAAUCCCAUCUAACUAGUUAAACUCUCUCUCCAUUUCUCUCUCCCUCUCUCUCUCUCUCUCUCUGAUCUUUCUCCAUGCCCUCUAUUUCUAUUCUUCUUUUCCCCCUGCCA